rnacentral:tRNA from 1 species
GCCCGGGUGGCGGAACUGGCAGACGCGCAUGGUUGAGGGCCAUGUAGCCGAAAGGCUGUGGAGGUUCGAUCCCUCUCCCGGGCA